UUUCAAAAUGGAAGUAUUUUUCUUUUCUUUUUUCUUUUUUCCUCACAGGGGCCAAGGAAGACUCCCUCUAGGGCGUUACCCUACAGAGGCAGCAGUACCUUUUUGAAAUUAUCCCACAUGGCACAGUGUUGCAGGGAGAAAAAGCAAGUCUUUUGAAAAGUAUUCUUAGAGGAGACAACAGGCUCAAAAUGGAGUCAUUAGUGCUAAGCUCUACAUCAGCAAACCAAGACUUAAUACUUAACAUAACUGGAGUUUCAGCUUCUCCCAGGAUUGUAGCCUUUAACCAGCUGAUCUGGAAUUACCUACUCUGCACUUUUGAGAUUUGGAGGCAACAUCAGGACAGAAGGAGAUUUCCCACAGUUUUGGGAACAGUGAGAAACACAGUCAUGGUACCCACAAACCCUUUUGAGUUCUGUGUCUUUCUUGAUGUGUCCAAGGACUGUGGGUAAGUUCCUCUUGGUUCUGACCUCUGCUCUCUUUGCAUUGAGCUCCCAGUCUUAUUGGCGU